rnacentral:other from 12 species
CAGGUCUCUUGAAUCUGUUCCACUUUAUGGACACUCAUUUCACGCUUUCUGUCUGCUUUUCUUCCAGGGCUCUCCCCUUGCCCUAGGCUCUGGCCGCUGCGCCCGGCGGGGUCAACUCCAUGGUUAGCAUGGAGCUGUAGGAGUCUAAAUUGGGGACACAGAUGUUGGGAACGUCGCCUUGCAGUGUUAACUUGGCUUUCAUGAAGCUUUUUGAUCUUCCACAAGAGGUAGGCUACGGGUGAAACCUCUUAAGCUAAUACUUCUAUGAAGAGAUGCUUUGGAUAGGGUAACAGCGGCGGAUAUUGGUGAGUUGUUUGACAAAAACCAUUCAACGCCGGAGACUGGCUCUCAUCCAGUGGAUGCAUUAAGUGGAUUGUCUGUCAGGGCUGUCUCUAGGUUUAAUUCCUGGCCUCUCUGUGCUUAGGGUAAACAAAACUUGGCCUUAAAUGAGGUCCUGUGAGAGGGGACCUCACCAUUGAAUGCUGGACAUUUCUUUGGGGCCUUAUGUUUUGUUUGCCUCUGAGGUACUCAGGGGCAUUUAGGUUUUUCCUCAUCAAUAAAUAAUUAUG